GCCGGGUGUAGUGGCGGGCGCCUGUAGUCCCAGCUACUCAGGAGGCUGAGGCAGGAGAAUCGCUUGAACCCGGGAGGCUGAUGUUGCAGUGAGCCGAGAUCGCAUCACUGCACUCCAGCCUGGGUGACAGAGCAGGACUCUGUCUCAA
rnacentral:SRP_RNA from 2 species